GAAGGUAGGAAGUUUGCUGUACUUGCAUCUAAAAAGAAAUCAUGGGCCUUGGAAGCUGGUUGAGCACCCAAUUAGUGUCACGUAAAGAUACUUUCUAUGAGGAUCAGUCAUUAAACAUCAAUGUGUGACUCACCGUACAUAGGGUAUUGCUUUACGUGCUAUUUUAGAUGCUUUGAGGAAGCCUGCAGAUUCAGAAGUUUGUUCCUUCCUAGUUUA